GACGAACGCUGGCGGCGUGCUUAACACAUGCAAGUCGAGCGAUGAAGCACCUUCGGGUGUGAAUUAGCGGCGAACGGGUGAGGAACACAUGAAGAAUCUGCCUUCAACUCUGGGAUAACUCCGGGAAACCGGGGCUAAUACCGGAUAUGAGCCUUGAUCGCAUGAUCGGGGCUGGAAAGUUUUUCGGUUGAAGAUGACUUCGCGGCCUAUCAGCUUGUUGGUGAGGUAAUGGCUCACCAAGGCGACGACGGGUAGCCGGCCUGAGAGGGCGACCGGCCACACUGGGACUGAGACACGGCCCAGACUCCUACGGGAGGCAGCAGUGGGGAAUAUUGGGCAAUGGAGGAAACUCUGACCCAGCGACGCCGCGUGAGGGAUGAAGGCCUUCGGGUUGUAAACCUCUUUCAGUAGGGAAGAAGCGAAAGUGACGGUACCUACAGAAGAAGCACCGGCUAACUAUGUGCCAGCCGCCGCCGUAA
rnacentral:rRNA from 1 species